AAGUGGUUGAAAUUAGGCCCAACGGGGCUGUUUCGCUGAGAAUUUAUAGUCGCUCGUAGAACUCAGCCCUGACAGAGUAGGAGUCCUUCCUGCCAAGAUGGAGCCUGGCUCCCCAGCCCAGGGUCUUCACCAGCAGGACACACCUCUCCACCUUUGAUUAGCCUAUCUGUGCAUCUCCACAGGGGACCAUGAAGAUGCUCCUGCUCAUCUCCCAGUAACUGGGGCCUCUCCCUGGAAUCCACAGGCUGUGCGGCCAGGACCUUCUUCCCAUGGACUUCCUUCCACGUGUGAGCUCCCUUCCAGUUCUAACUGGGAAGAGUCACAUAGUCCUGGCUAGCAGCAGAGCCUUGGAACAACACUUCACUGAAGACCCGCCUGAGAUUUGAUCUUUCAGACACUGAAAGGCAGAGAGUCAGAGAGCCACUCUCCAACCACCUGCCAACAGCAAAGUCCCUCUGGUGCUGAGCAGCCUAAGUCCCUGGCUGGUUCUAGAAGGUGGUGGAAGCAGGAGAUAGAAGAAGUCAGAAAGAUAGCCAGAGCAUCAAGCCUCCCAUCCAAGAGUCCAAGAAAACACUAGAGGCUGAGGAACAUGCGAUUGGCCUCCACACUACCCCAAAGCCCUGGCCAGCAGGUCCAGGGCCACAGGCCACCCAGGGGCUGAGCUUCCACCCAGGCGGCCAGGGACAAUGCUAGAACUUGCAAGACACCAGUGGCUCUCCUCACACACCCUCCAGUAGAAGCCACCUCUCCAAACAGCUGGGGCCUCAUCAGACCCACACAGG
rnacentral:lncRNA from 1 species